AAUAGAUACCCAGGUAGUCCAUGCCGUAAACGUUGGGCACUAGGUGUGGGGGCCAUUCCACGGUUUCCGCGCCGCAGCUAACGCAUUAAGUGCCCCGCCUGGGGAGUACGGCCGCAAGGCUAAAACGUCAAAGGAAUUGACGGGGGCCCGCACAAGCGGCGGAGCAUGCGGAUUAAUUCGAUGCAACGCGAAGAACCUUACCAAGGCUUGACAUGUGCCGGACCGUCCCAGAGAUGGGGCUUCCCUUCGGGGCCGGUUCACAGGUGGUGCAUGGUUGUCGUCAGCUCGUGUCGUGAGAUGUUGGGUUAAGUCCCGCAACGAGCGCAACCCUCGUUCCAUGUUGCCAGCACUUCGGGUGGGGACUCGAUGGGAGACUGCCGGGGUCAACUCGGAGGAAGGUGGGGACGACGUCAAAUCAUCAUGCCCCUUAUGUCUUGGGCUUCACGCAUGCUACAAUGGCCGGUACAAAGGGUUGCGAUACUGUGAGGUGGAGCCAAGUCCCAGAAAGCCGGUCUCAGUUCGGAUUGGGGUCUGCGAACUGGCCCC
rnacentral:rRNA from 1 species